CGGAUGUAGCCUAGUUGAUCAAGGCAGU
rnacentral:tRNA from 1 species